ensembl:lncRNA
UCUCUCCCUACAGGCUCGCCUCCGUACCCUUUGGAAAGCCUCGCAGUUUUCCCAGACCGUGCCGCUGGAGGAACAAAUCCACCCGCUCCAACCAGGGGACUUCGUCUGGGCCAAAAAGUUCGUUCGUGACGACACCCUCCAGCCAAGGUUUACUGGACCCCACCAGGUUCUUUUGACAACCCAGACUGCAGUGUUCCUGGAAGGACGCAAAUCUUGGAUCCACCACUCCCACGUCAAGCCAGCCGUAGUGGACCACAGUGACGGACCAGCAGCUCUUGUCACCACUGAGGACACUGCCUUCGACCAGUGGACCAGCUUACCUCUCUCAGACAUUAGACUUAAAUUAACUCGGAAAAAAUGAGAGGACCCUUUAUUCUGACAACUGUAUGUUUUUUAUGCUUUUUUAGUUUAUUUUCUGCUUAUGAAGAUAAUGCUUUUAUUAGAUAUUCCCACGAGGUUAAAACUCGUAUUUUAGGAAAUAGAAGUGAUUGCUGGGUAUGUACUCAAUUUCCAGUAAAUGCAGCACAGGGACUCCCCUUCACACCCAUUCCCCUAACCACUGCUAAUAUGACUUGGAUGCCACCGACUAGAAUAAAAGAUCCAGUCCAACCCAAUCUUACAUGGGACAAAACAGAAGUGCCAAUUAACAAAUAUCUCAGGGUAACCAAUCAAACAGGAUCACUGUGUUUUGUUAAAGAAAAAGGGUCAACUUUUGUGGGAACAAGUAAAUGCAACAUAUAUUUUAAUGGCACCGCCUUUAGUAAAAAUCUUGGCUUCAAGCCUUGCGCAUCCCACUUAUCCCAUAUGUGGAUCCCUCACCCCGAUCCAACCUUUUCAACUUUUUCAUGGAGGGGCAGGUUUUCAGAGUCAGUUUUUAAAAAGCCCUGCUCAGAUCUCGAGGGUGUCCAACUAAUUGUUAAAGGAUACACAAUUGCCUUCUACAACUGCUCAAGCAGUACUACACUGCCCUUUGAGGACAACACUACCAAAUUGUGCCUCUGCAGUUCACACAACGACCCCUCUGCGUUACCAGGGGAACAGUGGUACAACGGGUGGUGGGUUACCUCCUACUUUGAGAAAUGGAAUACCCAAAACGCAUUAUAUGGAACAUACUGGGUGUGCGGGCCCAAGGCUUAUUAUUUUCUCUCCCCUGAUUGGGC